CCAGCACCUUUCAAGAUUAUACACAGCUCCGUACUCAGUUUGUGGACAGCCUGAGCUCAUUUGGCCUUGUGUCAAAAGAAAGUGUGAAAACAGAAAAACUGAACACAUCCCUUCAACACAAAAGGAAUUUAAGAUAGCCAAAUACCAGAUCUACGAAAAGAACAUAAGGAUUGCAGCUUAAGGUGAAUGUAAUUUAACAGUGAAAUAUUCUCUAGAAGAGGGGUGUUGUAUUAUAAAUUAAAAAAAGAAACAAGUUGCCUUCUUGUAGACAUACUUUAGUUCAUACUAAAAGAGAUAGUUAAGAAAUUCCUGAUUAUGCAUAUGUUGUGUCAUUAAGGAAAUUAAUACUUUUGUAUCAUAAUAUGUAUUAUUUUACAGUAAUAAUUGAAGAUUUGUGCAAGUCAAUUAAACUAUACAUGCUUGGAAAUUGCCACAUGGGACCAUCUUGAAUGAACAGUUUAUGCAAACAGAAAACAUGUUCAGGAAGAAUGUUAAAAUUUUAACACUUGUAAAUAGAAAGAAGAUGACAUUUGCCUGUCUUUGUAAUUUAUGAGGGUAUUUGCAAAUAAGCAUCAAAACAAGAAGAAAAUAUUAAAAAGACAUUUUGUGCCAGGACAUCAUGGUAGUGCUGGAUUGCCUAUCCAACUCUGUAUAAAGGUUUUUCAAACAAUUUGUGAAGAAUGUUAGUAUCUUCAGAGUCUUCUGCAUCAGCAAAGAGUAGUGCAUUAACUAAUGGAAAAGAGAAGAUAAAAUUUCUGGUGCUCAUGAUGACUAGUCCGAACCUGUGAACUUCUGAGAAAAUUUACAGUUCUGAAAACUAGAGGUGGUUACCGAAUUGAAUAGCCGUUGGUUCUACAGCCACUAUAAUGAUCUGAAAAGUUGAAUGUGUUGCAUGAACACUUUCAGGAAUCAUAAUAGAACUCAGCUAAUUAGAUAGAGACUGGAAUGUUGAUUUGAAGACAAUUACUUUAUAAAGAUUUUCUCAUUGCUGCUUUUGCAUUAUCCCAAGAAGUGGAGACACUACUACAUGGAUAAGAACUGUAUGAUUGAAUUGACUUUGGAAUCAUCUCAGUAUUGUCAUAAGUAUGAAGUGUAUUUCAUGGUACUUUUGAAGUUAGUUAUAGAAUUUUUUCAAUUGAUUUUUCUAUUUUUCAAAGGGUUUAGGUAAUAUGUAGCAUAGUCUGACUUGAGUGGUAACAUUUUAGAAAUAUACCAGGUACUGUUAGGGCAAUAUUGUGUGAAGAUUUACUUUUAUAGUGCAUGCCAAAUUUUGGGUUUUCUGGUACAUUUUAUUGGAUUUUAUUUAUUAAUAUUUGUUAUAAGAGCAGCUGAUUAUGGGUUAAGAUGAUAGUAUUACAGUUAUGUGUCAAAAUUCUAUUACUUUGAACUACAUUGGCUUGGUAUAUCAAGUCUACAUUUGAUUAAAUGUAGACUUAGCAGGAUUAAUGAAUUUGGCCAUUAAAACUACAGGAAUUUUAGUCAACAUUCCUCUCAUAUUUGUGUAUUUAUGUAUGUAUGUAUGUAUGUACAGGAAUUUUAGUCAACAUUCCUCUCAUUUGUAUAUGUAUGUAUGUAUGUAUUUAUUUAUUUAUUUAUUAUCAAAUCAUGCUGUUCAUUUCUGCUCAUUGUUUGAGUUUCCAUGCUAAUUAUCUAUUAUUCAUAAGUACAUUUAUAAAUAAGUCUGUAAGCAGGUCAUCAUGUAUGUCAGAUAAAAUACUGUGUUUUCUACUCUCUGUUUUAUUACUAAGUUGUAUAUGAAUUAUGCAUUAAAUACAGAAUGUUCUCUCUU
rnacentral:lncRNA from 1 species